CGCCGCUGGAAUGCAAGUUGCCGCCCCCGUCCACCCCGCUGCAGCUUGGGAUUGAUCAUGCGAACCACUUAUUAGAAUAUCCAACAUUAACAGCGGGGACGCUAGGGAAGAUUAAGGACAAUGGAGCAGGAGGAUUAGCAUUUCACUUGAUGGCUGAACCUAAAAUGACAGGCAUGUCGACCACGACUAGUGCACGCAAGAGAAGGACCUGCAG